rnacentral:rRNA from 1 species
AUGGGGUGACUGCGUACCUUUUGUAUAAUGGGUCAGCGACUUAUAUUCUGUAGCAAGGUUAACCGUAUAGGGGAGCCGUAGGGAAACCGAGUCUUAACUGGGCGAAUGAGUUGCAGGGUAUAGACCCGAAACCCGGUGAUCUAUCCAUGGGCAGGUUGAAGGUUGGGUAACACUAACUGGAGGACCGAACCGACUAAUGUUGAAAAAUUAGCGGAUGACUUGUGGAUGGGGGUGAAAGGCCAAUCAAACCGGGAGAUAGCUGGUUCUCCCCGAAAGCUAUUUAGGUAGCGCCUCGUGAAUUCAUCUUCGGGGGUAGAGCACUGUUUCGACUAGGGGGUCAUCCCGACUUACCAACUCGAUGCAAACUGCGAAUACCGAAGAAUGUUAUCACGGGAGACACACGGCGGGUGCUAACGUCCGUCGUGAAGAGGGAAACAACCCAGACCGCCAGCUAAGGUCCCAAAGUCAUGGUUAAGUGGGAAACGAAGUGGGAAGGCUCAGACAGCCAGGAUGUUGGCUUAGAAGCAGCCAUCAUUUAAAGAAAGCGUAAUAGCUCACUGGUCGAGUCGGCCCGCGCGGAAGAUGUAACGGGGCUAAACCAUGCACCGAAGCUGCGGCAGCGACACUAAGUGUUGUUGGGUAGGGGAGCGUUCUGUAAGCCUGCGAAGGUGUACUGUGAGGUAUGCUGGAGGUAUCAGAAGUGCGAAUGCUGACAUAAGUAACGAUAAUGCGGGUGAAAAACCCGCACGCCGGAAGACCAAGGGUUCCUGUCCAACGUUAAUCGGGGCAGGGUGAGUCGACCCCUAAGGCGAGGCUGAAAAGCGUAGUCGAUGGGAAACGGGUUAAUAUUCCCGUACUGGUGGUAACUGCGAUGGGGGAACGGAGAAGGCUAGGUUGUCCGGGCGACGGUCGUCCCGGUUCAAGCAUGUAGGCAGAGUGAUUAGGCAAAUCCGGUCACUUAAUGCUGAGGUGUGAUGACGAACCACUAAGGUGGUGAAGCAAUUGAUGCCCUGCUUCCAGGAAAAGCCUCUAAGCUUCAGGUUACCAACAAUCGUACCCCAAACCGACACAGGUGGUCAGGUAGAGAAUACUCAGGCGCUUGAGAGAACUCGGGUGAAGGAACUAGGCAAAAUGGUGCCGUAACUUCGGGAGAAGGCACGCUGGCGGUAAGUGAAGUCCCUCGCGGACGGAGCCGAAGCCAGUCGAAGAUACCAGCUGGCUGCAACUGUUUAUUAAAAACACAGCACUGUGCAAACACGAAAGUGGACGUAUACGGUGUGACGCCUGCCCGGUGCUGGAAGGUUAAUUGAUGGGGUUAUCCUUAGGGAGAAGCUCUUGAUCGAAGCCCCAGUAAACGGCGGCCGUAACUAUAACGGUCCUAAGGUAGCGAAAUUCCUUGUCGGGUAAGUUCCGACCUGCACGAAUGGCGUAAUGAUGGCCAGGCUGUCUCCACCCGAGACUCAGUGAAAUUGAACUCGCUGUGAAGAUGCAGUGUACCCGCGGCAAGACGGAAAGACCCCGUGAACCUUUACUAUAGCUUGACACUGAACAUUGAGCCUUGAUGUGUAGGAUAGGUGGGAGACUAUGAAAUGUGGACGCCAGUCUGCAUGGAGUCAACCUUGAAAUACCACCCUUUAACGUUUGAUGUUCUAACCUAGGUCCAUAAUCUGGAUCGGGGACCGUGUCUGGUGGGUAGUUUGACUGGGGCGGUCUCCUCCUAAAGAGUAACGGAGGAGCACGAAGGUUGGCUAAGCAUGGUCGGACAUCAUGCGGUUAGUGCAAAGGCAUAAGCCAGCUUGACUGUGAGAGUGACGGCUCGAGCAGGUACGAAAGUAGGUCUUAGUGAUCCGGUGGUUCUGAAUGGAAGGGCCAUCGCUCAACGGAUAAAAGGUACUCCGGGGAUAACAGGCUGAUACCGCCCAAGAGUUCAUAUCGACGGCGGUGUUUGGCACCUCGAUGUCGGCUCAUCACAUCCUGGGGCUGAAGUAGGUCCCAAGGGUAUGGCUGUUCGCCAUUUAAAGUGGUACGCGAGCUGGGUUUAGAACGUCGUGAGACAGUUCGGUCCCUAUCUGCCGUGGGCGUUGGAAGAUUGAGAGGGGUUGCUCCUAGUACGAGAGGACCGGAGUGAACGCACCACUGGUGUUCGGGUUGUCAUGCCAAUGGCAUUGCCCGGUAGCUAAGUGCGGAAGAGAUAACCGCUGAAAGCAUCUAAGCGGGAAACUUGCCUCGAGAUGAGUCUUCCCUGUCACCUAGAGUGACCUAAAGGAACGUUUAAGACUAAGACGUUGAUAGGCUGGGUGUGUAAGCGUAGCGAUACGUUGAGCUAACCAGUACUAAUGAACCGUGAGGCUUAACCUG